AGCAUAUUUUGCCCAGGCGGAGCUCGACCGCCACUUCAAGCCAUGACGAGGUUCGUGACCGAACACCGUCACGCCUACGGAGUCGAGCCGAUCUGCCGUGUACUUCAGAUCGCUCCG
rfam:Stenotrophomonas sp. BIIR7 sctg_0016_0001, whole genome shotgun sequence.